GCCGAAGUGGUGGAAUUGGUAGACACGCUAGGUUCAGGGUCUAGUGGGUUCACGCCCGUGGGAGUUCGAGUCUCCCCUUCGGCA
rnacentral:tRNA from 1 species